rnacentral:lncRNA from 1 species
AGGUUUUGAUGGCUGCCCAUGUUAUUUUCAAGAAACUAUUGAUGUAAGAAGCUGUGGUUCUUUUCAUCAGCUUGAACCUGAAACUGUCGCUAUGGAUAACUCAGGUUUUUGUUAUCAACUAUAUCAUCUUUUUCACUAUUUUGAAACUCUUAAGAUUAAACUUUAGUAAAGUUGUUUUAGUUAUCCAUGUAAUCAGGCUGAGGAUACUUAGCUGCCUAUUUAGGCAAAUGUCAGAAUUUAGUUUGUUCGCUGGGAACUGGUGUGGACUGGCAAAGGAUGAUGAGAUAGUUUUUUGAGUGAGUAAAUUUUGGGAGCUUGAGUGUAUUGGGAUUUGCAAUUACAAUCAUCCUCUGCCUCAGGUGAUUUCUUCUCCUGCCCUGUCGUUGUUUGUUCUCUAAUUCAAAAUUAUAAAAUAUUUAAUCAAAUUUUAUGCCAGGAAUAUGCAAAAGUUUCUAAUAUUUUAUUUCCAUCUGUUACAAGAUCAAACUGAAGCAGAACUCAAACAAAAGUAUGCUACUUCUUGCGGAAAUCUUGCCUUUGUUCAGAUUAUGAAACCAUUUCCAUGCAGCAAAUUCAUCCAAAAGUUUGAAUAAGUUUCAUGGUUGGACACUGUUGGCUUCUUUUUCUUCUGGGGUGCAUUUAGGUGCUAUCAAGUGACAGCUGUAAGUAUGAUUGCACUAAGCUGCCGCUGGGAAAUUUGAGGUUUUGAUGGCUGCCCAUGUUAUUUUCAAGAAACUAUUGAUGUAAGAAGCUGUGGUUCUUUUCAUCAGCUUGAACCUGAAACUGUCGCUAUGGAUAACUCAGGUUUUUGUUAUCAACUAUAUCAUCUUUUUCACUAUUUUGAAACUCUUAAGAUUAAACUUUAGUAAAGUUGUUUUAAUUAUCCAUGUAAUCAGGCUGAGGAUACUUAGCUGCCUAUUUAGGCAAAUGUCAGACUUUAGUUUGUUUGCUGGGAACUGGUGUGGUGACAGCGUCCUGGCAAAGGAUGAUGAGAUAGUUUUUUGAGUGAGUAAAUUUUGGGAGCUUGAGUGUAUUGGGAUUUGCAAUUACAAUCAUCCUCUGCCUCAGGUGAUUUCUUCUCCUGCCCUGUCGUUGUUUGUUCUCUAAUUCAAAAUUAUAAAAUAUUUAAUCAAAUUUUAU